rnacentral:rRNA from 1 species
CCUACGGGUGGCAGCAGUGAGGAAUAUUGGUCAAUGGGCGGGAGCCUGAACCAGCCAAGUAGCGUGCAGGAUGACGGCGCUACGGGUCGUAAACUUCUUUUGUCCGGGAACAACGCGCGUCACGCGUAGCGCUGUGAGUGUACCCGAAGAAUAAGCAUCGGCUAACUCCGUGCCAGCAGCCGCGGUAAUACGGAGGGUGCGAGCGUUAUCCGGAUUUAUUGGGUUUAAAGGGUGCGUAGGCGGUCCGUAAAGUGAGCGGUAAAAGCCCGGGGCUCAACCCGGGCGAGCCGUGGGAACUGUCGGACUAGAGACGGCGGGAAGUACGCGGAAUGCGCGGUGUAGCGGUGAAAUGCUUAGAUAUCGCGCAGAACCCCGAUUGCGAAGGCAGCGUGCCGCCGCCGGACUGACGCUGAGGCACGAAAGCGUGGGUAUCGAACAGGAUUAGAUACCCGGGUAGUC